AAGUUCUUGACCUAGAUGGGAUGUUGUUAGCCUUCACACGGCAAGGGUCACAGGUUCGAUCCCUGUACCGCCCACCA
rnacentral:tRNA from 1 species